UACCAGUGACGCUGGGGAAAAGUGAGAGGGGGCAGGGGGAGAGGGAGUGAAUGCAAAAGGAGGGAGAGUGAAUGAGGUAGGAGACAGAAAGGGAGAGGACAUAGAGGGGGGAGAUUCAGGAAGAGAGCAGGAGGAUAAGAGAGUGGUGGGAGACAGAGAGAGGGAGAAGAGAGGGAGAGGGAAAAGCGAGGUGAAGGGGAGGUAGCAAAAGGGAGAGCGGGAAGAGAGUGAGAGAAGGAGUGGAAGAGAGAGGGAGGAGAGAGAAAGAAGAAAAGGACGCAUGUAGACAGGCCCAUGAGCUUUGAGUCUCUGUGGUGUACGAUCGGGAGGAGAACCACACUCCAGUGCCUUUCUUAACCUUCACAGCAAGUGCAUCAUUUUUAUUCCAUUGAUUACAUGGUUACCCUCUGACUGACAUGCAUGAAGCCUCUAAUGAAUAGAAAAUAAAUCCACCACAGGGAAAGGAAGCAGUGUCGCCAUUCUCUCAUUCUAUCCAUUUAUUUUACAGAUAGUUUAUGUUAUAAUUAUUAGUGGUAGCCUAAUGUUUAUCCAUCACUGUGAUACAUAUUUUAAUUUCAAUCAUUGCAAGGACAUACAAUCGGCUUCACAGAAAGACUAAGUUUGUUGCUACAUUAUCCCAGCGGUUGACUCAACAACAGAUGUUCUACCCAGCCUAUGCAUUCGAUCAAGCCUGCUGGUCCGGCAACAUUUGUCACACCCUGAUCUGUUUCACCUGUCUUUGUGAUGGUCUUCACUCCUCUCCAGGCCCACCACAUCUCCCUGUGUCAUCGAUGGCCUACACAGUGAGACGCCUCCUAAGUGUUCGACCACAGGGCAGGGGUUUCCAGUACCUGGUUGACUAGGAGGGUUAUGGCCCGGACGAGAAGUGCUGGGUAUACACUAGAAACAUCCUGGACCCAGCCCUCAUCGCCGACUUCCACCGCCAGCACCGUCGAACACCUCCUGCUUUUCCCAGCCUCUCUUUUUUCUCCCCCUCCUGGUUCUGAGCCCGCCUGCCUGACCACUCUACCUGUCCCUGACCCUGCCUGCCGUCCUGUACCUUUGCCCAACCUCUGGAUUAUUGACCUCUGCUUACCCUGAGCCUACCUGCCGUCGGGUAUGGUUGGCCCACCUCUGGUUUACUGACCCGAGCCUGCCUUGACCUGUCUAUUGCCUGCCCCUGUUGGAUUAUUAAACCAUUGUUAAUUUGA